CCUACGGGAGGCAGCAGUGAGGAAUAUUGGUCAAUGGACGCAAGUCUGAACCAGCCAUGCCGCGUGCAGGAAGACGGCUCUAUGAGUUGUAAACUGCUUUUGUACGAGGGUAAACGCAGAUACGCGUAUCUGUCUGAAAGUAUCGUACGAAUAAGGAUCGGCUAACUCCGUGCCAGCAGCCGCGGUAAUACGGAGGAUUCAAGCGUUAUCCGGAUUUAUUGGGUUUAAAGGGUGCGUAGGCGGUCGGAUAAGUUAGAGGUGAAAUCCCGAGGCUCAACUUCGGAAUUGCCUCUGAUACUGUUCGGCGAGAGAGUAGUUGCGGUAGGCGGAAUGUAUGGUGUAGCGGUGAAAUGCUUAGAGAUCAGACAGAACACCGAUUGCGAAGGCAGCUUACCAAGCUACUUCUGACGUUGAGGCACGAAAGCGUGGGGAGCAAACAGGAUUAGAUACCCGAGUAGUC
rnacentral:rRNA from 1 species